GGGAGUAUAGCUCAGUGGUUAGAGCACCCGCAUACGUAUCGGAAGGUCGGGGGUUCGACUCCCCCUGCCUCCA
rnacentral:tRNA from 1 species